AUAUCAAUAAGCGGAGGAAAAGAAACCAACAGGGAUUGCCCUAGUAACGGCGAGUGAAGCGGCAAGAGCUCAAAUUUGAAAUCUGACUUUAUGUCCGAAUUGUAAUUUGUAGAGGAAUAUUCGGCAAUGUCAUCGGUCCAAGUCUUUUGGAACAAAGCGUCUUAGAGGGUGAGAGCCCCGUACCCGACUGCUUGACAGAGCUAUGUGAAUAUCCUUCGAAGAAUCGAGUUGUUUGGGAAUGCAGCUCAAAAUGGGUGGUAAAUUCCAUCUAAAGCUAAAUAUUGGCCAGAGACCGAUAGCGCACAAGUAGAGUGAUCGAAAGAUGAAAAGCACUUUGGAAAGAGAGUGAAAUAGUACGUGAAAUUGUUGAAAGGGAAGCGCUUAUAACCAGACUUGUUUGCUUAUGUUCCCGUGGUCUUUUCACGUGGUUUCUCAUUUGCUAUCAGGCCAGCAUCAGUUUUAGGGUUGGAUAAAGGUUUG
rnacentral:rRNA from 1 species